AUUGAACGCUGGCGGCAUGCUUUACACAUGCAAGUCGAACGGCAACAGGCCGCAAGGUGCUGACGAGUGGCGAACGGGUGAGUAAUGCAUCGGAACGUGCCCAGUCGUGGGGGAUAACGCAGCGAAAGCUGUGCUAAUACCGCAUACGAUCUAUGGAUGAAAGCGGGGGACCGUAAGGCCUCGCGCGAUUGGAGCGGCCGAUGUCAGAUUAGGUAGUUGGUGGGGUAAAGGCCUACCAAGCCGACGAUCUGUAGCUGGUCUGAGAGGACGACCAGCGACACUGGGACUGAGACACGGACCAGACUCCUACGGGAGGCAGCAGUGGGGAAUUUUGGACAAUGGGCGCAAGCCUGAUCCAGCAAUGCCGCGUGCAGGAAGAAGGCCUUCGGGUUGUAAACUGCUUUUGUACGGAACGAAACGGUCUGGGUUAAUACCCUGGGCUAAUGACGGUACCGUAAGAAUAAGCACCGGCUAACUACGUGCCAGCCGCCGCCGUAACAC
rnacentral:rRNA from 1 species